GGAGAGAUGGCUCUGAGGUUAAGAGCACUGGCUAUUUUUCCAGAGGUCCUGAGUUCAAUUCCUAGUCACUACA
rnacentral:tRNA from 1 species